UACGUAGGGGGCAAGCGUUGUCCGGAUUCAUUGGGCGUAAAGAGCGUGUAGGCGGCCAGGUAGGUCGGUUGUGAAAACUGGAGGCUCAACCUUCAGAGGUCGACCGAAACCAUCUGGCUAGAGUCCGGGAGAGGAGAGUGGAAUUCCUGGUGUAGCGGUGAAAUGCGUAGAUAUCAGGAGGAACACCGGUGGUGUAGACGGCUCUCUGGACCGUAACUGACGCUGAGACACGAAAGCGUGGGUAGCAAACAGG
rnacentral:rRNA from 1 species